rnacentral:rRNA from 1 species
GUGGAGGACCGAACCCACCAGGGUUGAAAACCUGGGGGAUGAACUGUGGGUAGGGGUGAAAGGCCAAUCAAACUCCGUGAUAGCUGGUUCUCCCCGAAAUGCAUUUAGGUGCAGCGUUGCGUGUUGCUUGCCGGAGGUAGAGCUACUGGUUGGUUGAGCGGGACUACAAUCUUAGCAAUGUCAGCCAAACUCCGAAUGCCGGUUUAAGUUAGCGCAGCAGUGAGACUGUGGGGGAUAAGCUUCAUAGUCGAGAGGGAAACAGCCCAGAUCGCCGGCUAAGGCCCCUAAGCGUGUACUAAGUGGAAAAGGAUGUGGGAUCGCGAUGACAGCCAGGAGGUUGGCUUAGAAGCAGCCAUCCUUGAAAGAGUGCGUAAUAGCUCACUGGUCGAGUGGUUCUGCGCCGACAAUGUAGUGGGGCUCAAGUACACCGCCGAAGCCGCGGCAAUGAUUCUUUUGAGGAUUGUUGGGUAGGGGAGCGUCGUGCACAGCUGUGAAGCAGUACCGUGAGGGGCUGUGGAGUGUGUGCGAGUGAGAAUGCAGGCAUGAGUAACGAUUUGGCAAGUGAGAAUCUUGUCCGCCGGAUGACUAAGGGUUCCUGGGUCAAGUUCGUCUUCCCAGGGUGAGUCGGGUCCUAAGGCGAGGCCGACAGGCGUAGUCGAUGGUUAACGGGUUGAUAUUCCCGUACCCGUAUAUGUGCGUCCAUGGUGAAUCAGUGAUACUAACCAUCCACAAGUCUUCCGCUGCUGUCUUUGAUGGUGGUGGUUGGGGCGUGCGUGGAGCCUGAUCUGGUAGUAGCUAAGUGAUGGGGUGACGCAGUGGGGUAGCUGAGCCACUUAUUGGAUUGUGGUGCAAGCGUGUAGGGCGAUCGGUAGGUAAAUCCGCCGGUCAUGAUGCCUGAGGCGUGAUGCGUAGCCCCUUUUUGGGGUGAUGUUGGUGAUCCCGUGCUGUCGAGAAAAGCCUCUAGCGAGUGCAUAUAUGGCCCGUACCCUAAACCGACACAGGUAGUCAGGUAGAGAAUACUAAGGCGUUCGGGUGAACUGUGGUUAAGGAACUCGGCAAAAUGCCCCCGUAACUUCGGGAGAAGGGGGGCCAUUGCUGGUGAUACAUCUUGCAUGUUGAGCUGGUGGUGGUCGCAGAGAAUAGAGGGAAGCGACUGUUUAUUAAAAACACAGGUCCGUGCGAAAACGAUUAAGUUGAGGUAUACGGACUGACGCCUGCCCGGUGCUGGAAGGUUAAGAGGACCUGUUAGCUGUUAAAGGCGAAGCGGAGAAUUUAAGCCCCAGUAAACGGCGGUGGUAACUAUAACCAUCCUAAGGUAGCGAAAUUCCUUGUCGGGUAAGUUCCGACCUGCACGAAUGGCGUAACGAUGGCGGCGCUGUCUCCACCCGAGACUCAGUGAAAUUGAAAUCGCUGUGAAGAUGCAGUGUAUCCGCGGCUAGACGGAAAGACCCCGUGAACCUUUACUAUAGCUUUGCACUGGACUUUGAAUUUGCUUGUGUAGGAUAGGUGGGAGGCUUUGAAGCGUGGACGCCAGUUCGCGUGGAGCCAACCUUGAAAUACCACCCUGGCAACUUUGAGGUUCUAACUCAGGUCCGUUAUCCGGAUCGAGGACAGUGUAUGGUGGGUAGUUUGACUGGGGCGGUCUCCUCCUAAAGAGUAACGGAGGAGUACGAAGGUGCGCUCAGACCGGUCGGAAAUCGGUCGUAGAGUAUAAAGGCAAAAGCGCGCUUGACUGCGAGACAGACACGUCGAGCAGGUACGAAAGUAGGUCUUAGUGAUCCGGUGGUUCUGUAUGGAAGGGCCAUCGCUCAACGGAUAAAAGGUACUCCGGGGAUAACAGGCUGAUACCGCCCAAGAGUUCAUAUCGACGGCGGUGUUUGGCACCUCGAUGUCGGCUCAUCACAUCCUGGGGCUGAAGCCGGUCCCAAGGGUAUGGCUGUUCGCCAUUUAAAGUGGUACGCGAGCUGGGUUUAGAACGUCGUGAGACAGUUCGGUCCCUAUCCGCUGCGCGCGUAGGAAAUUUGAGAAGAUCUAUCCCUAGUACGAGAGGACCGGGAUGGACGAACCUCUGGUGUGUCAGUUGUUCUGCCAAGGGCACCGCUGAUUAGCUACGUUCGGAACGGAUAACCGCUGAAAGCAUCUAAGCGGGAAGCCGGCUUCGAGAUGAGAUUUCCAUACCCUUCGGGGUGAGAGGCUCCCAGCUAGACUACUGGGUUGAUAGGCCGGAUGUGGAAGUGGGGACUAACGACCCAUGGAGCUGACCGGUACUAAUAAGCCG